AACGGAGCAGCAGAAAGAUGAAAGGGAAGUGCUUCCUACCUGUCCUUUAGAUUUUUCUCCCUAAUGAAUCUCUUCUUCAGCUCUUGCAGCCUGUUCAGGAGGUGGCUGCUUAACGAGACAUGUAGCUUGGCUACUGGGCAAACACGCUGGAGCCUGUGUCUGCAAGCUUGCUGAUGCCGCCAGAUGCCUGCCGUGUCGGAGCCGCACACCCGGUGGACUCCGAUGCCCAACCCCUUCUUCUGGAGCUAGUAAUUCAGCCUCUGCUUCCUGCUUGAGUAAACUCUGCAAAAG
rnacentral:lncRNA from 1 species